UCUAUUCAGAGGAACCUGUUCUAUAAUUGAUAAUCCACGAUUUAAUUUACUUGCUUUAUUAAUUUAUAUAUCGUCGUAGUUUGAAUAUUUUAGUAGAAUUUUAAUAUUCAAGAUUUUUAAUAAUAAAAAAAAUCAGAUCAAGGUGUAGUUAUAUAAUUGAAUAAGGUUUAUAAGUAAGAAGAAAUGGGUUACUAUAAUAAAAAUUUAGGAUAAUUAUUUUUGAUGAAGG
rnacentral:rRNA from 1 species